GUUGGAAAUGAAGGGUACAAGCAAGACAGUGACAUUCAGAAAGCUAAGCUUUCAAGGGAGGCAUUGAGCCAUUGACACAGCUCUUCAAAGCACACUUAGGGAAUUUUUUUACCCUUUCCCCACAAAGCACACUGAUCAGAUCGCGCCCUCACCUUCGAUUCACCAUCAGAGAAACCCUUCGUGCCCUCGCCUCUCACCUUCGCCACUCACCUUCCCCACUCACCGUCGCCACUCACGUCGCUCCUUCCCCACUCAGCACUCACCACUCACGACUUCCCCACUCACCGUCAGCUUCCUGCAUUGAUCGUCAGCUGCGCCCUCCUGCAUUGAUCGUUAGCUGCGCCCUCACCAUCGUCGUAUCUGCCCUCAGCUCAUCCUCUCAGCGCUCAGCUCGUCUCUCUGCGCCCACAUCAUUGAGAAGGGCUAUGUUCACUCUGCAGGAGCGACUGUUGUUCAUCAAUUCUGCCAUCUUGGCUCUUUCUCUUUUCUUGGUGGUGGUUAUGUGGUUUCGCAAGAUGUUCCAAAGUACACAAUGGUAGCCGGAGAAAGAGCGGAGCUUCGGGGUCUAAAUUUAGUGGGCCUGACUCGACGUGGAUUCAGCACUGCAGAGGUUAUACUAACAAAAAUUUUAAAAUUACUCGUCUUCGAUGUCAUCGGUGCGAGCUCGUGGAGGGAGAGAGGGAAUCAGAAGAAUUGCAAUCAGAUGAAAAUAAAGCUUCUACAGAGAGAAAAAAAAAUAAAAGAAGACUCAAAAUACCUUCCCAGAUUAUGGCCUUGGAGAAAUUUUAUAACGAGCACAAAUAUCCCACGGAGGAAAUGAAACAAGAUCUUGCUGAGGAGUUAGGGUUGACUGAGAAGCAAAUUUCUGGAUGGUUUUGCCACAUAAGGUUAAAAGAUAAACAGUUGUUGAAAGAUGAAGCGAUUGGUAAUGGAUGACAAGAUCGUUCAAGUGAUGUCAUCUAGGAUCGUGGUAGUGGACGGCAAGAUUCAUGCGGAAGCAGCAAACAUGGUGAUUACCGUUAUGUGGAUCCGAAAGAAGUAGAAAGUCAUGAUAAAUGCUUUGCUUGCUUUUCUGAAAGGGCAAUAGACUUUGAUCCAAACUCCUUGCGAAAUAUUCUACCUAAAGCAGUCUCAUCAUUGGAAUGGGCAAUCUCAAAGGGAAAAGGAAGAGUUUAUGUGCAUUGUACUGCUGGACUUGGGAGAGCACCAGGGGUGACAAUAGCUUAUUUGUUCUGAUUUUAUGACAUGAAUUGGCCGCGCAGCUGCAGUGACACCUACAACAUCUAUGAAGAGGAAGAAAGGGUUUCUUCGAUUACUCAAAACGCCGGUAUAUGCCGAGCGGAAUCAAGAGCUGGUCCAGUCGAAGCCCGAUGGCUGGCGAUAGAAGCCCUGAAGGUGUUUAAAAGAUCAAUUGAGAAUCCAUGCUAGAUUCUGAUAUGAGAUUGCAACAUAGUUCUACUGGAGUCAGAAAGUUUGCAAGAAAGUUAAGUUAAAUAAUUUUUUUUCUUGCUUUUUCUUUAUAAAUUAUGUUUAAUUUGUUCUUUUUUGUGGUUUUAAAAUACUUAUUUGUUAUUCGAGAUAAUGUAUAUUUUAAUAUUUUAAAUUGAUAAUCUUUUUAUUAUUACUCUAAUCACUGUUAGUAUUUCUUACCCUUAUUUCAAAUCUAUCAAAUUAAGUGUAAGAUUUGGGAAGUGCAGGAAGAAAAAAGAAAAUAUUUGUGUUUUUAGCAAGUGCCAUGAUUUGAUAGGAUCUUUAGGGUGGGUUUGGAAUUGUAUAUUGGUAUAUGUAGUUUUUUAAAAGCAAGAUAUUUGUAUUUCAAUAUUGAUAUUUGUAUUUUUUCUGUUGAUUUCCUUUGGCUAAGGCACGUUUAUAUAUUUCCAGUGUUGUUUUAGUGUUGCAAAGCAAUGAAUUAGCUCUUUUUAUAUAUAGUAUAUGUACGUGUGCAUUGGACUAGCUACCUUAGUUCUUCUUGCAAUUAUCACACUUUAGAAAUAACUACCCCAUGCAUGUUAUAAAUGGAUUUUUAAAAUAAAUUUUGUCUAACUCUUAUUCUUCUAACUGUUAUUUUUUUAUUAUUAUGAACACAUCAAAAUCACUUUGUCAAGGGUGCUUCUUCAUCUUUUUUGCAAAUGAAUACUGCUGAUGGGUUUGGUGCCUAUUUUCUGGAGAAACUCAUUCCAUCAAAGUUGAGGAGCUCCUCUUCAAGGAUCAGUCAUAGUACCAAGAAGCCUUGGUUUUUGAGUCCGCGGCACAAAGUGCUGGUGUUUGACGGGGUUGUUCAGUUGACCAAGAAGGAUGAAUGUGCUUAGCACGAGAUGAUUGCUCAUCUUCCCCUUUGUUCAGUUGAGUCCCCCAAAAAUGUGAAAAACGUUAAUGCAUUGCUGGAGGUUGAGAAAUUUUUGCACCCAAACGAAUUGAGAGCAUGUGCCUUUUUGACUCUUUUUUUUUCAUUGUGUUGUUACUUGUUAGUAACUAGACUUCAUUUGGAUAAUAAGCACUGCUGUUGUGAAUGUGAUAACUGACACUGGAAUCAAAUUUUUUAAUACAUGAAUUUUGUGUCUCUGAGAGUUUUAUUUUAUUAUUUGAUAAACGAAAUUUUGUGAGAGUUUGCUUUGAUUGAAUUUUUGGCAUUGUGGCAUUAUUUAUUUUAUUUUCAUUUAUGAUGCUAGAUUAGCUUUUAAUCUUUGAAUUAUUGAUGCCCUAUUUCUUCUUGGGUAUUUAAUUAAAUAAAUAUUUAGUAUUGCUAUUUUUUUUCAUCAUUUACUUUGCACUGGAGCUCUGAACUCUUAUUUUUCAAACUCUUAAAUGAUACAGUUUUAUGCAUUUAAUUUUAAAAAGGUUCUGUGGUAAAAAGUGGAAAAUGUUAUAAAAAUCAAUCCUACAUUUUUUUUCUGUAAGAUUAUUUAAUUUCUGUAAGAAAUAUUCUAUCGAAAAUUAUAGGGUGAAAUUUCAGCUGCUGGCUUCGUUAAUUUAUAUUUUGAAAAAUCUUCAUUUGUUUUGUUACUAUUCUUUAUUUUGUUCUUUUUCUGUUUCUCUGAUUUUUUGGUUUUUAUCUUCUUUAGUAUUUAUUUUAUGAAUACAUAUUUUGUUUCUCUGUUUUCUGAAAUAAUAUUAGUAUUAUUCUACGGUGCUAGAAUUGUACUUAAAUUAUUCACAUUUUUCUCUUUCAGAAAUUUUUGCACCCAAACGAAUUGAGAGCAUGUGCCUUUUUGACUCUUUUUUUUUCAUUGUGUUGUUACUUGUUAGUAACUAGACUUCAUUUGGAUAAUAAGCACUGCUGUUGUGAAUGUGAUAACUGACACUGGAAUCAAAUUUUUUAAUACAUGAAUUUUGUGUCUCUGAGAGUUUUAUUUUAUUAUUUGAUAAACGAAAUUUUGUGAGAGUUUGCUUUGAUUGAAUUUUUGGCAUUGUGGCAUUAUUUAUUUUAUUUUCAUUUAUGAUGCUAGAUUAGCUUUUAAUCUUUGAAUUAUUGAUGCCCUAUUUCUUCUUGGGUAUUUAACUAAAUAAAUAAUUCGCGUUGGUGUUCUGCCUUUUUUUUUUCACCAUUUGCUUCAUACUGGAACUCUUAUUUUUCUAACUCUUAAAUGAUACAUUUUUAUGCAUUUAAUUUCUAAGCUUCUAUGAUAAAAAGAGAAAAAUUGUAUAAAAUUCAAUCCAAUGCACUUUCUCUCUCUAAGUUUCUUUAAUUUCUAUAACAAAUAAUCUCUCUAAAUUUAUACUGUGCAAUUUCAAGUGCUGGUUUCUUUAAUUUGUAUUUUGAAAAGUCGUCACGCGUUCUGUAACUAUUCUUUAAUUUGUUCUUCUUCUGUUUCUCUCAUUUUUAUUAUUUUUAUCUUCUUGGUUAUUUAUUUUAGAAAUACAUAUUCUCUUUUUCUCUUUUUUGAAAUAAAAUUAGUGAGAAGCUUAUCCUUAUUUGUAUUAUUAUACACCACUUGAAUUGAACUUGGAUUAUUUAGAUUUUGUUAUUUAUUUUUUGUAAUUUGUGGUACAAUUUAUUUUUUGUAGUUUGCUCUUAGAUAAUUUUAUUAAGAUAUUAUUGUAGUUUUUCUGCACUUUAUCCACUUGGAUGUGUUUUUAAAUAGAUUCAGAUCUCCUUGGUUUAAUUACAGCUGUCUCAGUUUUUUCUGCUUUCUUGGUGCUGUAAGUUUACAAAGUUUGUUAGUGUUUUGGCAAUGGUUAGUUUACCAAUUCUCUUUGUCCCUUAACUUAGAGGAGAACAUACAUUUUAAAAAUGAAAACAUAUUAUUCUUUCAAAUAAAAAAAUAACGCCUAAUAAUGGAGGUUGAGGUGAGUGUCAUUAUUUUUCAGUUUUUAGUUUUUCCCAAAAUUUGUUUCUGUUUAGGUAGGAACAAGUUUUAAAUUUAAGAAUCAUGCAUCUAUCUGGAAAUUUUAAUUUAUUAAUUGAUAAACAAAAUCUCGUGAGUUUUUGCUGUUGUUGAUUUUUAUUAUGGUGUUGUUAGUUAUUUUAUUUUUAUUUAUGAUUCUAAAUUAGCUUUUAAUUUUUUUUUUAUUGAUGCCCGAUUUCUUCUUGGAUAUUUAACUAAAAUAAAUAGUAUUGCUAUUUUCUUUCACCAUUUGCUUCACACUGGAACUGAUCUCUUAUUUUUGAAACUCUUAAAUGAUAGUUUUAUGCAUUUAAAUUUAAAAAGGUUCUAUGGUAAAAAGUAAAAAAUUCUAUAAAAAUCAAUCCAAUACAUUUUUUUUCUUUGUAAAAUUAUUUUAUUUCUAUAAGAAAUACAACAACAACAAAAAAGUCUUGUCCCACUAGGAGGAGUCGGCUAUAAGAAAUUUCAGCUAUUGACUUUAUUAAUUUGUAUUUUGAAAAGUCGUGAUGUGUUUUGUUAUUAUUCUUUAUUUUGUUCUUUUUCUGUUUCUUUUUUUUUGAAAUAAGAUUAGUAAGUAGUUUAUCCCUUUUUAGUAUUAUUCUACCAUGUUAGAAUUGUACUUGAAUUAUUCACAUUUUUCUUUUUCAGAAUUUUUGCACCCAAUCGAAUUGAGAGCUACAUUUACCUUUGUGCCUUUUUGACUCUUUUUUUCCUUGUGUUGUUAGUAACUAGAGUGCAUUUGUAUAAUAAGCACGUUUUGAAUUUGAUAACCGACAUUGGAAGCAAAUUUUUUAAUAUAGAAAUUGUCUCUCUGAGAGUUUUAUUUUGUA